UUCAAUACUGUUGGCAACAACAGUGUGCACUUCUCGCUUAGUAAGACGUUGUGAUCCAUUAGAAAUUGGCUAUUCCAAUAGCUAUGAGGUUAUCAAUAGGCUGGUGUAAAGUUCAUCAUUGUAAAUGUCUAGAUCUUUAAUGGUCGAGUGUAUUAUAUGUUGAGUGCAUCAUGUCUGCCUAUAACUGUCUGAUGGAUUUUAAAGAUCAUAACAUUGAUGUUCGCAUCACCCAUUCGUGGGAAUGGUUAUGUAUCCGAUCAACAACGGUUAAAUUUGGGAUACCUUUUGGACCCGUCUUGAAACACGGACCAAGGAGUCUAUCUAUUGCGCGAGUAAAUGGGUAUAUGAAACCUAUUUGCGGAAAAAACUUGACUGUUAUGGGAUUACGAGUAUCUAUCUACGGUACUCCUCCAUCCCGGGGUAUUUUCAUCAACACAUGCAGCAAUGUAUGUGGAAAAUAUACCAUGAGCGUAGUGGAUAUGACCCGAAAGAUGGUGAACUAUGCCUGAUCAGGUUGAAGUCAGGGGAAACCCUGAUGGAGGACCGAAGCAAUUCUGACGUGCAAAUCG
rnacentral:rRNA from 2 species